GGAGAGCUCUGACUGGCCGUUCCCGCAUGGCGCCCCUGAGGGGCGCGAGCGCCAGGGCCGUUCCCUUCUCGCUGGCGUCGCCCGCGGGUGACUGGCCCGGACAGCGCUGAGGUGGCCCGCUCCGGCGCCGCGCGGGCUCUGGCUCCGCCGCAGGCGCUGAGGUAGCCGAGGGGUCGUCGACGUGGGCGGUCUGUCCAGUCCCCUCGGCCGUCAAACGAGACUCCUCUCGCGGAAUGCCCGCCUCACCUCGGACUUCCAGCUUCCCAGUCCUGAGCCCGCCACGUGUGUGAGGGGAGAGGUUGGGGACCGUAACGAAAACCCGGGUCAGAGCAGUCCUGGCUCGAACGUGCAGGUGAGGUGCAAGGCGCCUGUGCCCUGGCGACGGCCGAGUGCCGGAGCGGGGAGGGGUCUGAGGUUAAAGAGCAAACGCAGCGGAACCGGGGAUGUGGAAGAAACUAUGUGUAGACUGGAAGUGAGCAAUUAAAUGAGAGCUUGGUGGACGGUCGCCGGCACGCCUGUCACUGUUGAGUGGCAGGUUGCACAGGAGCAAGGGGAGGAGGCUAGAGCCAGCCACGUGGUACUACUGGAUGAGAGGUGAAGACAAUAUACCGGCCCCCGUCUGGCUUAGCCACUUGCAGGAAAAAAAAAAGGUUACAGGGUCUGGGCAUAGUCACACAGCCUGCAUCUUACAUGAGCACUGGUUGGAGUUCCUGCUGCUGCACUUCUGACCCAGCUCUGUGCUAAUGCGCCUGGGGAAACAGCAGAGGAUGGUCCAAGUGCUUGGACUCCUGCCACACACAAGGAAAACCAGGAUGAAGUUCCAGGAUCCUGGCCAUUUGAGGAACGAACCAGCAAAUGGAAAAACAGUUUACAACACAGUAGCUGAUGACCUGCUCAGGUACAUCUCAUGUGGACUAUUGCAGUGGCCUUCUAGUUUGUCUUGGCAUUUAAACUCUUAUAGCUGAAAGGCAUUACCUAAUUCAAUACUCCCAUUUUGUAUAGAGAGAGCCUUGACAAGAGAACUUCAUGCCUACAGUGACACAGUCAUAUGAUAUGGAUUUCAGCACACCACUGGCUUAGCUAAGUCAAGGUGUAUCUGCUGAACCACUGAGAACUUUAAAUAUUUAACAAACAACCUGGGAAGUGAACUCAACUUGUGCCCACUGCUAAGAGACUUCUGACAAACAUGAGGUUACCUACUGGUAAAGAAUAUCUAAGAAUCCUCCAGUACCAGAACUCACCCACAGGGCAGAAAGGUCCAGGUGUGAUGAGCUUGGACCAAGAGGUUAAAGAGUUAAAUAAGAGAAUGAGCUGCAGUGAGGUCUCCUGGGUGCAGUCCUGGAUUCCAAGGACAGAGAGGAUCAUAAGUGAAAAGUGAGGGAGCCGAGCACCAAA